UACGUAGGGUGCGAGCGUUGUCCGGAAUUAUUGGGCGUAAAGGGCUCGUAGGCGGUUUGUCGCGUCGGGAGUGAAAACCAGGUGCUUAACACCUGGCUUGCUUUCGAUACGGGCAGACUAGAGGUAUGCAGGGGAGAACGGAAUUCCUGGUGUAGCGGUGAAAUGCGCAGAUAUCAGGAGGAACACCGGUGGCGAAGGCGGAUCUCUGGGCCUUGCCUGACGCUGAGGCGCGAAAGCUAGGGGAGCGAACAGG
rnacentral:rRNA from 1 species